rnacentral:lncRNA from 1 species
AUUUCUUUUUCAGCAAAAGCCCAGAGAUUUGCCUAGAAAGAAAUAGUUUGCAAUGAAUGCUAAUGGACACAUCAGAAGCAACAGAAUAUGAAUCUAAGACACUGGCCAGUGUUAGAGACCAGAGACUUGGAGAUCACCUGCCAAUUCAUGUCUGCCCAGGAAAGAGGAUGUACUGUAUGAAAUUAACAAUUUACUGGAGAAAAGAAAACAAGGAAUAUCAAGCUGAGAACCAUGACUAGCAAAAUCCACAUUCUGCAACAGAACAAAAGCCAGAGAGCAACUCUGAA